CGGACCUCUAAUCGGAAAAGACCACCCGCUGAGUUUAA
rnacentral:rRNA from 1 species